GAGAGAGAGUUGAGCUGAAAUGCUAUAAGUAAUAAAUGAGUUUCGUUGCCAUGCACUCAUUUAUUUUCGAUGAUCGAGGCUCUAAAUCGACGAUCGAUAUUGUUGAACAUAAUCUAUACCACUUGAAGUAUAUAGAAAAUUUUGAAUUUUUUCAACAUUGCAGGCCUAAUAAUUAAAGAGUUUCAAAAUUUAUAAUUCUAACUAUUAGUAUAAGACGUUUUUCGUUUAACGGCGUAAAGAUAUCCAAACCAGUUGAAUUUUGGUUAAGGAAUUUUUUAAACUAAUUUAAAAUAAGAUUUACACUUUUGAUAUUGAUUAUAAAACUCCUAUAAUCACUUUUUAAAGGAUGUUUAUUUUUUGAGGAUGUUCAUUUUUAGCCGUUCAUUUUUUACUGCCACUUGAUGGACAAGAGAACAAUAUCGAAAAAGUAUGAAAUUUGAUUUCUAAAUGUUUCGAGUGAUAUAAUUCAUGUUCAAUAGUACCGAUUGUCGAUUUGGAGGCUCGAUCAUCGAAAAUAAAUAAGUAAAAACGGAGCUCGUUUGCUGUCGAUAUUAUUCCUUCUCAACUCUAUAUUN
rnacentral:lncRNA from 1 species